UGCUUUGCGCAGUGGCAGUAUCGUAACCGAUGAGGUCUAUCCGAGGUGCGAUUAUUGCUAGAUAA